rnacentral:rRNA from 1 species
UACGUAGGUGGCAAGCGUUGUCCGGAUUAUUGGGUUUAAAGGGUGCGUAGGCGGCGUUUUAAGUCGGGGGUGAAAGCCUGUGGCUCAACCACAGAAUGGCCUUCGAUACUGGGACGCUUGAGUAUGGUAGAGGUUGGUGGAACUGCGAGUGUAGAGGUGAAAUUCGUAGAUAUUCGCAAGAACACCAGUGGCGAAGGCGGCUCACUGGCCCGAUACUGACGCUGAGGCACGAAAGCGUGGGGAGCAAACAGG